UAAGACAGGGGGCUCGAGCGUUAAUCGGAAUCAUUGGGCUUAAAGGGUGCGUAGGCGGGUUGCUAAGUGUUCUGUGAAAUCCCCCGGCUCAACCGGGGAAUCGCAGGGCAUACUGGCAGCCUUGAGGCAUGUAGGGGCGGACGGAACUGUAGGUGGAGCGGUGAAAUGCGUAGAUAUCUACAGGAACGCCGAUGGUGAAGACGGUCCGCUGGGCAUGUCCUGACGCUGAGGCACGAAAGCGUGGGGAGCAAACAGGAUUAGAUACCCUGGUAGUCCACGCCCUAAACGAUGUGCACUAGAUCGGUGCGGCUCUGACGCCGUAUCGGUCGAAGUAAAAACGAUAAGUGCACCGCCUGGGGAGUACGGUCGCAAGGCUA
rnacentral:rRNA from 1 species